AGCGUAUCAUGAGAAUGUCGUAGAAAUGGCAGAAAUCCGAUAUCGAAAAACUAUGGGUUUCAUAUUUUCAUAAAACUGACAUCAAAUAAUAGUAAGAAAGCCGUAACGACGCGACGGGAGUCUAUGCAUGAAACCGAACACUUCCUGGCAUCAAGAAUGCCACUCUAUAUUCGGUACUACUAACAAUAAGAUGUAUAUACGUCAACAAUAAAACUGUUCAGCCCGAUACACAAAACGAAGAUUCGUUCGAAAGGGGAAUGACUCUCCUGUGAAACGUAUUUACAAAAUCUACAAUAAGACAUAUACAUAUGGAUUUAAACAUCGCUUGUCAAAGAUUUCAGUCAACGGACUUUUACGAGAUACGUGGAAAAGUGUAGAUAACAUCAUAACGAUGGAUUGGGCAAAGUUGUUGCGUUACUUCAUUAUUUAUUUUAUUACGCCACCUUCCAGUCCAAGAAGCUAUAAUCAUCGAAAUGUGGAUUUUUAUCGUUGAUCAGACUGGAGAAAAAGAAAGUGAACAACGAUUGAUUGCUGCAUUUAGUUAACCAUGCAAAUUGACGAUGUCCCGAUCUACCGUGUUAUUACCGCCAAUUCCAAUAGUUUCUUUUGUAUCGCAAUUAUGGUAUACUGACUAGUUUCAUCGAAAUUAAUCGGAGCUCGCCUCAAAGAUCGCAAUUGGUUCCGGCAGUUUUAUUCGAACUGGUUUGCUCUCUAGAAACUUGCGCAAGAACGUAAAAUUACCUACAUACCCAUUUUAUAAUAUGUCCUUGACCACACCUG